AAACAGUGGCCGGAACAAUCGCGAAGACGCCGCCGCCGCCGCCUCCCGCCUCCCGCCGUUCCCCUUAAGGAACAGAUUUUCCGAUAUUCUGCUUCAAUAUUCAGCAAAUACAGGCUCAAUCCUUGUUCAUUCGUAAAAUGGCAAACAGGCACACUAUUGUUCUCAUGCAGACAUCUCAGAACCGAGCAACUCGCACUUUCAUGGAUUACGAGUCAAUAAGUCAAGCAAUGGAUGGAAUUUGUGCUUUGUAUGAGAGGAAACUCAAGGAAUUAAACCCAGCCAUCAGAGAAAUCACUUACGACAUUUCAGAUCUUUACAAUUUCAUAGAUGGCCUUGCUGAUAUGAGUGCAUUAGUGUAUGAUCACUCAAUCCAGGCUUACCUCCCCUAUGACCGGCAGUGGAUAAAACAGAAAACAUUGCAACACCUGAAAAAACUGGCAUCGCAGAGAUAAUAUAUCUUAAAGGCUAGUUUCUAUAUACCAUUUUCACUUAAUUUCCUGAUAGCUUUUAUGAAUAGAAGAGCUGUGGAUUGGAAGUUGCUGUCAGGAGUAAAAAUCUAUGUACGAUAUACGCUUCUUUUCCCUGAACUCCAAAAACUAUCUGCAGGGGGAAACCAACUGUUGUCGGAACUGAACCUAUACUGGCGUUGCAUUUCGAAUCAUGGAUGUAUAACUAUGCAUAGUUCUGUAAAUUGAGCACUUUAAACUUUGCUAAUGAUUUUAUCUCUCAGUUACUGAGUCUCAUCUCUUGUCAGUACAUUUACUUGAACAAAU
rnacentral:misc_RNA from 1 species